rnacentral:rRNA from 1 species
AGAACGAACGCUGGCGGCGUGGAUAAGACAUGCAAGUCGAGCGGGAUAAGUUUUGUAGCAAUACAAGACUUGUCUAGCGGCGAACGGGUGCGUAACACGUGAGAACCUGCCCAAAAGAGGGGGAUAGCCCGCCGAAAGGCGGAUUAAUACCGCAUAUUAACAAAGCAGCAAUGCGCUUUUGGAUGGGCUCGCGGCCUAUCAGCUAGAUGGUGAGGUAAUGGCUCACCAUGGCGAUGACGGGUAGCUGGUCUGAGAGGACGACCAGCCACACUGGGACUGAGACACGGCCCAGACACCUACGGGUGGCAGCAGUCGAGAAUUUUCACAAUGGGGAAACCUGAUGGAGCGACGCGCGUGGAGGAUGAAGGUUUCGGAUUGUAAACUCCUGUCAUGAGAGAACAAAACCCGCAAGGGCUUGAUAGUACCUCAAGAGGAAGGGACGGCUAACUCUAGUGCCAGCAGCCGCGGU